CCUACGGGUGGCAGCAGUGAGGAAUAUUGGUCAAUGGACGAGAGUCUGAACCAGCCAAGUAGCGUGAAGGUUGGCUGCCCUAUGGGUUGUAAACUUCUUUUAUAUGGGACUAAAAUGUUCACCGUUUGGGAUUUGGUAUGUACCAUAUGAUUAAGGAUCGGCUAACGCGGUGCCAGCGGCCGCGGUAAUACGGAGGAUCCGGGCGUUAUCCGGAUUUAUUGGGUUUAAAGGGAGCGUAGGUGGAGUGUGAAGUCAGUGGGGAAAGUUUGCGGCUCAACCGUAAAAUUGCAGUUGAAACUGGCAGUCUUGAGUACAGUAGAGGUGGGAGGAAUUCGUGGUGUAGCGGUGAAAUGCUUAGAUAUCACGAAGAACUCCGAUUGCGAAGGCAGCUCACUGGACUGCAACUGACACUGAGGCUCGAAAGUGUGGGUAUCAAACAGGAUUAGAUACCCUAGUAGUC
rnacentral:rRNA from 1 species